UACGUAGGUGGCAAGCGUUGUCCGGAUUUACUGGGCGUAAAGAGCGCGCAGGCGGUCGAAUAAGUCGAAUGUGAAAGCCCCCGGCUUAACUGGGGAGGGUCAUUCGAUACUGCUCGACUUGAAGGCAGGAGAGGGUAGUGGAAUUCCCGGUGUAGUGGUGAAAUGCGUAGAUAUCGGGAGGAACACCUGAGGCGAAGGCGGGCUACUGGGCCGAUACUGACGCUGAGGCGCGAAAGCCAGGGGAGCAAACGGG
rnacentral:rRNA from 1 species